AUAGAGUUUGAUCCUGGCUCAGGAUGAACGCUGGCGGCGUGCCUAAUACAUGCAAGUCGAGCGAACAGAUGAGAAGCUUGCUUCUCUGAUGUUAGCGGCGGACGUGUGAGUAACACGUGGGUAACCUACCUAUAAGACUGGGAUAACUCCGGGAAACCGGGGCUAAUACCGGAUAAUAUUUUGAACCGCAUGGUUCAAUAGUGAAAGACGGUUUCGGCUGUCACUUAUAGAUGGACCCGCGCCGUAUUAGCUAGUUGGUAAGGUAACGGCUUACCAAGGCGACGAUACGUAGCCGACCUGAGAGGGUGAUCGGCCACACUGGAACUGAGACACGGUCCAGACUCCUACGGGAGGCAGCAGUAGGGAAUCUUCCGCAAUGGGCGAAAGCCUGACGGAGCAACGCCGCGUGAGUGAUGAAGGUCUUCGGAUCGUAAAACUCUGUUGUUAGGGAAGAACAAAUUUGUUAGUAACUGAACAAGUCUUGACGGUACCUAACCAGAAAGCCACGGCUAACUACGUGCCAGCAGCCGCGGUAAUACGUAGGUGGCAAGCGUUAUCCGGAAUUAUUGGGCGUAAAGCGCGCGUAGGCGGUUUCUUAAGUCUGAUGUGAAAGCCCACGGCUCAACCGUGGAGGGUCAUUGGAAACUGGGAAACUUGAGUGCAGAAGAGGAGAGUGGAAUUCCAUGUGUAGCGGUGAAAUGCGCAGAGAUAUGGAGGAACACCAGUGGCGAAGGCGGCUCUCUGGUCUGUAACUGACGCUGAGUCAAAGCGAAA
rnacentral:rRNA from 2 species